rnacentral:rRNA from 1 species
GCCAGACUCCUACGGGAGGCAGCAGUGAGGAAUAUUGGUCAAUGGACGCAAGUCUGAACCAGCCAUGCCGCGUGCAGGAUGACGGCUCUAUGAGUUGUAAACUGCUUUUGUACGAGGGUAAACCCCGAUACGUGUAUCGGGUUGAAAGUAUCGUACGAAUAGGGAUCGGCUAACUACGUGCCAGCAGCCGCGGUAAUACGGAGGAUCCGAGCGUUAUCCGGAUUCAUUGGGUUUAAAGGGUGCGUAGGUUGUUUUAUAAGUUAGCGGUGAAAUACCGAUGCUCAACAUCGGGGCUGCCGCUAAUACUGUAGGACUAGAGAUCGGAUGCAGCAGGCGGAAUGUGUAGUGUAGCGGUGAAAUGCAUAGAUAUUACACAGAACACCGAUUGCGAAGGCAGCUUGCUAGGCCGGAUCUGACACUGAGGCACGAAAGCGUGGGGAUCGAACAGGAUUAGAUACCCGUGUAC